rnacentral:SRP_RNA from 1 species
GCCGGGCGAGGUGGCGGGCGCCUGUAGUCCCAGCUACUUGGGAGGCCGAGGCGGGAGAAUGGCGUAAACCCGGGAGGCGGAGCUUGUAGUGAGCUGAGAUCCGGCCACUGCACUCCAGCCUGGGCGANNNNNNNNNNUCGCCCAGGCUGGAGUGCAGUGGCCGGAUCUCAGCUCACUACAAGCUCCGCCUCCCGGGUUCACACCAUUCUCCUGCCUCAG